rnacentral:rRNA from 1 species
GACGAACGCUGGCGGCGUGCUUAACACAUGCAAGUCGAACGGAAAGGCCCUGCUUGCAGGGUGCUCGAGUGGCGAACGGGUGAGUAACACGUGGGUGAUCAGCCCCUUACUUUGGGAUAAGCCUGGGAAACUGGGUCUAAUACUGGAUAGGACCAUGCUGUAGGUGGUGUGGUGGAAAGAUUAGUUUCGGUAAGGGAUGAGCUCGCGGCCUAUCAGCUUGUUGGUGGGGUAAUGGCCUACCAAGGCGUCGACGGGUAGCCGGCCUGAGAGGGUGGACGGCCACAUUGGGACUGAGAUACGGCCCAGACUCCUACGGGAGGCAGCAGAGGGGAAUAUUGCACAAUGGGCGCAAGCCUGAUGCAGCGACGCCGCGUGGGGGAUGACGGCCUUCGGGUUGUAAACUCCUUUCAGCCAUGACGAAGCCCUUGUGGUGACGGUAGUGGUAGAAGAAGCACCGGCUAACUACGUG